rnacentral:rRNA from 1 species
UAGGGAAUCUUCCGCAAUGGGCGAAAGCUUGACGGAGCAACGCCGCGUGAGUGAUGAAGGUCUUCGGAUCGUAAAACUCUGUUAUUAGGGAAGAACAAAUGUGUAAGUAACUAUGCACGUCUUGACGGUACCUAAUCAGAAAGCCACGGCUAACUACGUGCCAGCAGCCGCGGUAAUACGUAGGUGGCAAGCGUUAUCCGGAAUUAUUGGGCGUAAAGCGCGCGUAGGCGGUUUUUUAAGUCUGAUGUGAAAGCCCACGGCUCAACCGUGGAGGGUCAUUGGAAACUGGAAAACUUGAGUGCAGAAGAGGAAAGUGGAAUUCCAUGUGUAGCGGUGAAAUGCGCAGAGAUAUGGAGGAACACCAGUGGCGAAGGCGACUUUCUGGUCUGUAACUGACUCUGAUGUGCGAAAGCGUGGGGAUCAAACAGG